rnacentral:rRNA from 1 species
GACGAACGCUGGCGGCGUGCCUAACACAUGCAAGUCGAGCGGAGUCGAUCGACGGAAGCCUUCGGGCGGAAGAUGGUUGACUUAGCGGCGGAUGGGUGAGUAACGCGUGGGCAACCUGCCUCGAAGACCGGGAUAACAGCCCGAAAGGGCUGCUAAUACCGGAUGUGGCCAAGGAUCCGCAUGGAUUUUUGAUUAAAGGGGAAACCCGUUUCGAGAUGGGCCCGCGUCCUAUCAGCUAGUUGGUGAGGUAAAAGCUCACCAAGGCGACGACGGGUAGCCGGCCUGAGAGGGUGACCGGCCACACUGGAACUGAGACACGGUCCAGACUCCUACGGGGGGCAGCAGUGGGGAAUCUUCCACAAUGGGCGAAAGCCUGAUGGAGCGACGCCGCGUGAGCGAAGAAGGCCUUCGGGUUGUAAAGCUCUGUCUGGAGGGACGAAGGAAGUGACGGUACCUCCGGAGGAAGCCACGGCUAACUACGUG